GACGCUCAGGCACGAAAGCGUGGGGAGCAAACAGGAUUAGAUACGGUGGUAGUCCACGCCCUAAAUCAUGUCAACUGGGUGUUCGGGAAGCGAGUUGUGAGUACCGUAGCUAACGCGUGAAGUUGACCGCGUGGGGAGUACGGCCGCAAGGUUAAAACUCAAAGGAAUUGACGGGGAGCCGCACAAGCGGUGGAUGAUGUGGAUUAAUUCGAUGCAACGCGAGCAACCGUACCUACCCUUGACAUGUCUGGAAGGCCCCUGAGAGGGGGUUGUGCCCGAAGAGGGAACCGGAACACAGGUGCUGCAUGGCUGUCGUCAGCUCGUGUCGUGAGAUGUUGGGUUAAGUCCCGCAGCGAGCGCAACCCUUGUCCAUAGUU
rnacentral:rRNA from 1 species